AAAAAGGGCUUCUGUUGUGAGUGGCACACGUGGGGCAACUCAGCUGCUCUUUAUGCAGAAUCCACAUCAAGAGAUUUCAGAAGCAUAAUUUUUUUGGUACCUGGGCAGCUGGUGAUUGUUGGUCCUGGCACCUGU